rnacentral:misc_RNA from 1 species
CCGCUUCUCGAUAGGAGCAAAGACCGCCCCAUGAACACCAACCGAAUCUCGAUAAAAGAAAACUACAAGCAACUAAAGAAGGGUGACGAAGCUUCUUUGCAUCCCAUAGUGCUGUCGCACUAAGCGACUANNNGAGUCGUACAACGAAGUGAUUAGCAUACCAGAGUGACGCAAGGCUCUAAGCUCGUACCUUAUAGCUCUUUUCUUUAUGCUCUCUCCGCUCGCUCCUUUUUGUAGC